rnacentral:rRNA from 1 species
UACAGAGGUUUCAAGCGUUGUUCGGAUUCAUUGGGCGUAAAGGGUGUGUAGGCGGCGCGUUAAGUCGGGCGUGAAAUCUCGGAGCUUAACUCCGAAACUGCAUUCGAUACUGCCGUGCUUGAGGACUGGAGAGGAGACUGGAAUUUACGGUGUAGCGGUGAAAUGCGUAGAUAUCGGAAGGAAGACCAGUGGCGAAGGCGGGUCUCUGGACAGUUCCUGACGCUGAGGCACGAAGGCCAGGGGAGCAAACGGG